ensembl:lncRNA
CAUGAAGCAUGUGGCAUCUUAGCUCCCCAAGCAGGGAUUGAACCCACACCUCUUGGAUUGGAAGCCUGGAGACUUAACCACUGGACCACCAAGAAGGUCCCUCAUUUAUGCUUUGUGAGUGAAAUAGUUCCUCUUGCAGAUUGCUGUCUACUACCACUGAUGUUCAGUCUUCCGCUUGAGUGCUAUUCUGGUUUGUUCCACGUAAAAUGCGCACAUAGGAGGCACGAAACCAGGGUCUGAGUUCACACAAAUUCUGGAAAUUUCUACCAAUGAAAACUUCCACCCACACAACACAAACAAACCCUACAUUUUCCAAGGCGAUAUUGGUCUUCAUUAUUUGCAAAUCGCUUUGAUAUCACAGCCAACAUCCUUAAGGGGGUGGAAGCAAAAAUAGAGAGGAAUCAAGAUUUUCUCCAUAUUUAAACCAUCUCUUCUGACCAAAUGGAUUAUUUUAGGUUUGUAGGCGCAGUGUAAUUAGUGCAUAUGGUCCAGCUGUGAAGAAAUAGCUGAGGACUCCUAACUUAUUAUUAAUUAGGUUCAUUAAAAUGCAAGUAAGAGAACGUUGCCUAGGUAAACAAUACCUUAUGUCAAAGAGUCAUUACUUGACAAGAGCUAGUCUCCCUAACUAAAGUCAUUACUGAUAUUUCGCAGAGGGUUGGUUUUUUUUUUAAGGCACCGUGGGUACCAGUUAACUACUCUUGACUGACAUCAAGGACAGACCUAAAAGAUAUGUCUCCAGUGAAAUUUGUUCUUGUUUUUCCCUUUCUGUUUGCGGGCUGCGAAUUUGUUAUCAGAAUGCUUCCCUGACCUUCUCCUUCCCUCUCCAUCACGCACUGACACAUCUCGCCGAAAUUUGUGUCUUGCAUCACCUCAGGAAACUCAUGGCUAAUUUCAUUAUUUGGGAGAGAAAAAUGCAAAUGAAGCCAGACAGCUGGUGCUUUCCUCGCGGCUCAGAGUGAUGGAGGGGCCGGGGCCCACCUCAUCAGAGGCCCUCACACCCUCCUGCCCAGACAGGCCCCGGCGGGGGGACAGCAGAGAGGCUGCCAGAGCAGCAGGAACAGAUGGCCAGGAGGGGAACAAGGUGGAGAAGCCCAGUGUGCUGGAGACACCAGGAAAAGGUGGCGUGUCAGUCGCCCGGGCAGUCAGAUGGAGCACACAGGACGGUCCUUACACACCGCCACCUACUUAAGGGCAAACCGAGCCCAGGAUGCAGGCUACUGGCAUCGUCUGCCCAUGGCAACCAGUAUUCCUCUGCCCUGGCCUCCAGGCCUGUUUUCUUUUCUGGGUCUGUUCUCAACAUCUGCCUUUUCCCAAAACUGUAGUUAGAGAUGGAGAUAAAAG